GUGUCGCAUACCGGGCCCGGGCUGACGCCGCCUCCAGGGAGGCUGCCCUGACCACCCAGCCGCUUGGCGCCCCCGGUACAGGUCAUCCUCGGGCUGACACAUUUCCUGCUUCUCCGACUGGGUCGCCCACGAGGGAAGACUAACAAUGCCCAUCAGGAGCGUCUAUGCCUGCUUACCUGAUGUCAGUUCAGUCCCAUUUCUAUGCCCCUAACAGUGAGCGGCACAUCUGACACUCCCCCGGGGGCUUCUUGUCAGAAGUGAGAGCCCCUGCGCCAUAGACGUGUUAUUUCAUAUCAAAACUCGAGUAGCCCUGGGAGAGCCAAGCAGUGCUUCUCACCGCAGCCCCGACUCACCCUUCCAGCUGCCUCACCAGCACCGACACCUCCCAGUCGACGGGGACACCGUCCACUCCCAGCUCCUGGAGCCUCCAGGAUGCCAGACUUCCCUUUUUGCCUCAAAGGACCACGAAAACGCUGGGUCUCAACAAAGGCUUACCUGAUUCACCUGUACCAUGGGAGAAGCCAUCGUGCAAAAAAAAAAAAAAAAAAAAAAAGUCUCCUACCAAAAAGAGAGUUAAGUAAAACCGA